UACGUAGGGUGCAAGCGUUGUCCGGAAUUAUUGGGCGUAAAGAGCUCGUAGGCGGUUUGUCGCGUCGAAUGUGAAAACCCGGGGCUCAACCCCCGGGCCUGCAUUCGAUACGGGCAGACUAGAGUUCGGUAGGGGGAGUCUGGAAUUCCUGGUGUAGCGGUGAAAUGCGCAGAUAUCAGGAGGAACACCGGUGGCGAAGGCGGGACUCUGGGCCGAUACUGACGCUGAGGAGCGAAAGCGUGGGGAGCAAACAGG
rnacentral:rRNA from 1 species